rnacentral:rRNA from 1 species
UGGUGACUAUGGCGAGAAGGUCACACCCGUUCCCAUACCGAACACGGAAGUUAAGCUUCUAGAGCGCCGAUGGUAGUUGGGGGUUCUCCCCCUGUGAGAGUAGGACGUCGCCAG